rnacentral:rRNA from 1 species
AUUCCAGCUCCAAUAGCGUAUAUUAAAGUUGUUGCGGUUAAAAAGCUCGUAGUUGGAUUUCUGCCGAGGAUGACCGGUCCGCCCUGUGGGUGUGCAUCUGGCUCAGCCUUGGCAUCUUCCUGAAGAACGUAGCUGCACUUGACUGUGUGGUGCGGUAUUUAGGACAUUUACUUUGAGGAAAUUAGAGUGUUUCAAGCAAGCGCACGCUUUGAAUACAUUAGCAUGGAAUAAUAAGAUAGGACCUCGGUUCUAUUUUGUUGGUUUCUAGAGCUGAGGUAAUGAUUAACAGGGACAGUCAGGGGCACUCGUAUUCCGCCGAGAGAGGUGAAAUUCUCAGACCAGCGGAAGACGAACCACUGCGAAAGCAUUUGCCAGGGAUAUUUUCAUUA